rnacentral:rRNA from 1 species
CCUACGGGAGGCAGCAGUGAGGAAUAUUGGUCAAUGGGAGAGAUCCUGAACCAGCCAAGCCGCGUGAGGGAAGACGGCCCUAUGGGUUGUAAACCUCUUUUGUCGGAGAACAAAACCCGGGACGUGUCCCGGACUGCGUGUAUCCGAAGAAAAAGCAUCGGCUAACUCCGUGCCAGCAGCCGCGGUAAUACGGAGGAUGCGAGCGUUAUCCGGAUUUAUUGGGUUUAAAGGGUUCGUAGGCGGUCCGUUAAGUCAGCGGGAAAAUUUCGGGGCUCAACCCCGUCGAGCCGUUGAAACUGGCAGACUUGAGUUGGCGAGAAGUACGCGGAAGGCGCGGUGUAGCGGUGAAAUGCAUAGAUAGCGCGCAGAACUCCGAUUGCGAAGGCAGCGUACCGGCGCCAGACUGACGCUGAGGCACGAAAGCGUGGGGAUCGAACAGGAUUAGAUACCCGAGUAGUC